CAGUCGCCGCGGUAAUACGAAGGGGGCUAGCGUUGUUCGGAUUUACUGGGCGUAAAGCGCACGUAGGCGGACAUUUAAGUCAGGGGUGAAAUCCCAGAGCUCAACUCUGGAACUGCCUUCGAUACUGGGUGUCUUGAGUGUGAUAGAGGUAUGUGGAACUCCGAGUGUAGAGGUGAAAUUCGUAGAUAUUCGGAAGAACACCAGUGGCGAAGGCGACAUACUAGAUCAUUACUGACGCUGAGGCUCGAAAGCGUGGGGAGCAGACAGGAUUAGAUACCCCAGUAGUCCCUGUCUCUUAUAC
rnacentral:rRNA from 1 species